rnacentral:rRNA from 1 species
GCUUAACGCGAAGAACCUUACCAAGGCUUAAAUGGGAAACGACGGAUCUGGAAACAGGUCUUCCUUCGGGCGUUUUUCAAGGUGCUGCAUGGUUGUCGCCAGCUCGUGCCGUGAGGUGUCAGGUUAAGUCCUAUAACGAGCGCAACCCCUGUUGUUAGUUGCCAGCGAGUCAAGUCGGGAACUCUAGCAAGACUGCCGGUGCAAACCGUGAGGAAGGUGGGGAUGACGUCAAAUCAUCACGGCCCUUACGCCUUGGGCUACACACGUGCUACAAUGGGACGGUACAGAGAGCAGCCAGUGGGUGACCACGAGCGAAUCUACAAAAACCGGUUCUCAGUUCGGAUCGGAGUCUGCGACUCGACUCCAUGAAGCUGGAAUCGCUAGUAAUCGGAUAUCAGCCAUGAUCUGGUGAAUACGUUCCCGGGUCUUGUUACACACCG